AGAGMCCUCAAGCGUUAUCCGGAAUCAUUGGGCGUAAAGCGUGCCGAUAGGUUGUUUUGAAAGUUUUGGGUAAAAGCCAGAAGCUCAACUUCUGCGUUUGCUCAAAAUACUGCAAGACUAGAGGGGCAAAGAGGUCCUUGGAACGAACGGUGUAGUAGUGAAAUGCGUUGAUAUCGUUCGGAACACCGAAAGCGAAGGCAGAGGACUGGGUGCCACCUGACACUGCUAGGACGAAAGCGUGGGGAGCGAAUGGGAUUAGAUACCCCAGUAGUCCACGCUGUAAACGAUGAAUACUAGGCAUGCGCGAGUAUCGACCCUCGUGCGAGCCGUAGCUAACGCGUUAAGUAUUCCGCCUGGGGAGUACGGUCGCAAGACUA
rnacentral:rRNA from 1 species